UAUGGCCAUAUCACGUUGAAACAUUGGUUCCCGUACGAUCACCGAAGUUACACAAGGCCGAGUUUAGUCAGCACUUAGAUUGGUAACCACUUGGCAAUACCAGAUGCUGUAAG